rnacentral:rRNA from 2 species
AGAGUUUGAUCCUGGCUCAGGAUGAACGCUGGCGGCGCGCUUAACACAUGCAAGUCGAACGAGAAGUUUAUUAGGAUCCUUCGGGUGAAUAAUAAAUGGACAGUGGCGGACGGGUGAGUAACGCGUGGGUAACCUACCUUGUACUGGGGGAUAACAGUUUGAAAAAGCUGCUAAUACCGCAUAAGACCACAGAGUCGCAUGGCUCAGUGGUAAAAACUCCGGUGGUACAAGAUGGACCCGCGUCUGAUUAGCUAGUAGGUGAGGUAAUGGCUCACCUAGGCGACGAUCAGUAGCCGGCCUGAGAGGGUGAUCGGCCACAUUGGAACUGAGACACGGUCCAAGCUCCUACGGGAGGCAGCAGUGGGGAAUAUUGCACAAUGGGGGAAACCCUGAUGCAGCGACGCCGCGUGAAGGAUGAAGGUUUUAGGAUCGUAAACUUCUAUCAGCAGGGAAGAAUAAAUGACAGUACCUGACUAAGCAGCCCCGGCUAACUACGUGCCAGCAGCCGCGGUAAUACGUAGGGGGCAAGCGUUAUCCGGAAUCACUGGGUGUAAAGGGUGCGUAGGCAGUAUGAUAAGUCAGAUGUGAAAGCCAAGGGCUCAACCUUUGGACUGCAUUUGAAACUAUCAAACUAGAGUAUGGGAGAGGAAAGUGGAAUUCCUAGUGUAGCGGUGAAAUGCGUAGAUAUUA